CACGUAGGGCGCAAGCGUUGUCCGGAAUUAUUGGGCGUAAAGAGCUCGUAGGCGGUCUGUUGCGUCCGCUGUGAAAACUCGGGGCUUAACCCCGAGCCUGCAGUGGAUACGGGCAGACUAGAGGUAGGUAGGGGAGAAUGGAAUUCCCGGUGUAGCGGUGAAAUGCGUAGAGAUUGGGAAGAACAUCGGUGGCGAAAGCGCUCUACUGGACCUCAUCUGACACUCAGGGACGAAAGCUAGGGGAGCGAAUGGG
rnacentral:rRNA from 1 species